UGUGUUUCCUGGUCUGCUGACAUGCAGUGAGCAUCCUCAGGCUCCUGCUGCUAUGCCUUCUUCACUGUGAUGGCCUGUGCUCUCAAACAAUGAGAGAGUCCAAGAUGGCUUUAGUAGCAGACAGAUUUUUCUUUAAGAAUGCACUGGAAGCAGGGGCAAGGUAUGACCAUUCCAGCAGCGUCAUGGAGGAAAUGAUGGAGCCCAGACCAUCAGAAAUUAUUUACGCUAGAGAUUACAGUCAUCCUCAAAUCUGAAUUGAUCCUCAGGCAACAAAGUAUGUAGGGAGCAAAGCCAAAGAUUUCAAUUUGACACUUCUUAAUCUACAAAAUAAAAACAAGCCAGAACACAACUCACAUGCUUGCAAGGAAGGGGGUGGGAAGUCCCCAUGGGAAUGGCUGGGAAGAACUGUGGAAGACGGCUAUGCAUCCUUCUAUGGCAAGAAGUCACCUUACAUCAUCUAUGAAAGGUCAAGAUGUUGGUGCCUUUCUGAGCACAGAGUGAAGAGCUGCACUCCCCUUAUUUUUUCUUCUUGACUCCUGGCACUUUGAUGACAUGCAGAGUCUCAGAUUAUACUUGUCAGAUCAGGGAGCAAGGGAAACUUGGAAAAGAAAAUCAAAACAGUAAGUUUCUGUAAAGCCCUGUUCUCCAUGAUUAAAUUUUGCUCCUUUGGUGGUUCAUCUUGUCAUCUUGAUGGGAUUCAGACUUGAUAGGUAUAAUGCUUUGUAUAGGCUCAGCCCAGGGAGUGGCACUAUUAUAAAGUAUGGCCUUGUUGGAGUAAGUGUGGCCUUGUGAUAGUAGGCAUGUCAUUGUGGGUGUGGGAUUUAAGACCCUCAUCCUAGCUGCCUGGAAGCCUGUAUUCUGCUAGCAGCCUUCAUAUGAAGAUGUAGAACUCUCAGAUUCUCCUGUACUGUGCCUGUCUGGAUGCUGCCACCUUAAUGAUACUGGACUUAACCUCUGAACCUGUAAACCAGCCCCAAUUAAAUGUUGUCCAUUAUAA
rnacentral:lncRNA from 1 species